GGAAGUGCGGGCCGCGGCGCGAUCACGGGGUGCGCGCGCGGCGCGGGGACCCCGAGUUUUCCCGGAAGCCUGGACCUGGGGCCGGGCGGGGCUGGAGCCUUUCCGGAUGCCAGCUCGUCCACAACGUAGAACCAAAUAGUGGAGACCCAUAUUUCCGUUUCUGCCGGGAGGUGGAAGUUACGGAUGGGCCCGGAAGAGAAUGAGCACGACUUCCCAUCUUAGUUCCUACCCUGUUCUGGAAGCUGCCAGAAUUCUGGGGUGUAAUUCCCACUGAAAGGAAUGGAAGAUGGGAUGCUAUGUGUUACCUUGGAAGCACGGUUUGAACCAGAAAGAUGAAACUGACUCCCCAAAUUAGACUGGUUCAGACAUUUGUGCAUUCAAGAGGCUUCUUACACUAAAGUUUGAAGCGCUGUGCAAGCAUGUGGUCCUGCAGGAUGCUGAUGGUGGUCUUUGUUGGGAACCGACGAUAAACUCACGAAGUGGAAAGACUUACAGACUCUAAUGGAGAUCUAGUCAAGUUCUUGGAAAAGGAAAGAGCCCUAGUACAUGAAGAGAAGGGAGACAGUAACCACACACCCAGCUGCAUCUUCCAAUGGCACCCAGAGCCUCCUUCCAACGAUGUGCAUAGAAACUUCUUUCCAAAGAGUCAGUGGGUAGACAUAAACACAGUACCCUUGGGAAUGUACACGUAAUGAGGGACUGGAACAGGACUGGGAAGAGAGAAGGCAUCAAAGACAUGAUGAAGGUCAGAUCUAAAGGGAGACAACUGCCCGCUACAAGAACCUCACUGUCCAAAAUGGAGAAAGAUAGAAAACAGUUUAGAAAACCCCCUAACUCUGCAAGGCGGUGUGUUUCUAUAAACAAAGGCUCAAAGCAAAUGGUCAAAUGUACAUAUUUGCACAACAAAAAUG